GAGAACAGUUUUUGACUCAGAUUGUUGGAAGUCUUGCCCUCGGAACCUAGAGAAGUCUCUCUAAACACCUUAAGUGACAGAACUUAAGGCUAAUAAUGAUUGUCCCUUUAUGAGUCAACAAGGGAGGGAGACGUUUAUAAAAACAAGUAGUGCUCUCCCCCCACACCCCAGUUCUGUUCUCUCCAGGAAAACGUAAUUAAAACUUCCCAAACCAGAUAGUUUCAAUACCUGUGGAAAAUCACAAAUGGAAUAGUCUUAUCCUAAUUUAAGUAGGAAGUCCACCCAAAUGGAAGUUGAAAGAGAUUAUCUCAGGAUGGGAUGGGUUAUUUUUGAACAAGGGCAAUGGACACGCUUUAUCAAAUGACAUCUGUUUUCACUUGUUCUUGGCAUAAUGACAAGUGCCAGUCUGUCACUGGAAACCAACUACAUGAUAUCUGUGUAUAUGUCUUAUUUAACUUCCAAAUGCUGAUCAACAUCCCAAGCAGAGAAGAAGUAUUCAGCAAUGAAUUAUUUCUCUGUUUACAUGACUAUUUCUGAGAAUUUUCCAUGUAGGAGGUGGGAACGUCACUGAAACCUCUGAGCUGAUGGUUAAAAUUGGCUACUCUUGAUUCAAUGCUUAACAAGUUCAAAAAUAAACAACUGACCAAUGUGAGAGAGAGUUACCUU
rnacentral:lncRNA from 1 species